CUAGCUUGCUAGAAGAUGACGAGCGGCGGACGGGUGAGUAAUGCUUGGGAACAUGCCUUGAGGUGGGGGACAACCAUUGGAAACGAUGGCUAAUACCGCAUAAUGUCUACGGACCAAAGGGGGCUUCGGCUCUCGCCUUUAGAUUGGCCCAAGUGGGAUUAGCUAGUUGGUGAGGUAACGGCUCACCAAGGCGACGAUCCCUAGCUGGUUUGAGAGGAUGAUCAGCCACACUGGAACUGAGACACGGUCCAGACUCCUACGGGAGGCAGCAGUGGGGAAUAUUGCACAAUGGGCGCAAGCCUGAUGCAGCCAUGCCGCGUGUGUGAAGAAGGCCUUAGGGUUGUAAAGCACUUUCAGUCAGGAGGAAAGGUUAGUAGUUAAUACCUGCUAGCUGUGACGUUACUGACAGAAGAAGCACCGGCUAACUCCGUGCCAGCAGCCGCGGUAAUACGGAGGGUGCGAGCGUUAAUCGGAAUUACUGGGCGUAAAGCGUACGCAGGCGGUUUGUUAAGCGAGAUGUGAAAGCCCCGGGCUUAACCUGGGAACUGCAUUUCGAACUGGCAAACUAGAGUGUGAUAGAGGGUGGUAGAAUUUCAGGUGUAGCGGUGAAAUGCGUAGAGAUCUGAAGGAAUACCGAUGGCGAAGGCAGCCACCUGGGUC
rnacentral:rRNA from 1 species